GCUCCGGUGGCCUAGUGGUUAGAGCGUCCGCCUCGGACGCGGGAGGUCGUGGGUUCGAUCCCCAAUUGAGUCA